UAGGGAAUCUUCCACAAUGGACGCAAGUCUGAUGGAGCAACGCCGCGUGAGUGAAGAAGGCUUUCGGGUCGUAAAACUCUGUUAUUGAAGAAGAACGUGUGUGACAGUAACUGGUCAUGCAGUGACGGUAUUCAAUCAGAAAGUCACGGCUAACUACGUGCCAGCAGCCGCGGUAAUACGUAGGUGGCAAGCGUUGUCCGGAUUUAUUGGGCGUAAAGCGAGUGCAGGCGGUCUUUUAAGUCUGAUGUGAAAGCCUUCGGCUUAACCGAAGAAGGGCAUCGGAAACUGGGAGACUUGAGUGCAGAAGAGGAGAGUGGGACUCCAUGUGUAGCGGUGAAAUGCGUAGAUAUAUGGAAGAACACCAGUGGCGAAGGCGGCUCUCUGGUCUGUAACUGACGCUGAGGCUCGAAAAGCGUGGGUAGCAAACAGGAUUAGAUACCCUGGUAGU
rnacentral:rRNA from 1 species